GACGAACGCCGGCGGCGUGCCUAAUACAUGCAAGUAGGACGCACAGUUUAUACCGUAGCUUGCUACACCAUAGACUGUGAGUUGCGAACGGGUGAGUAACGCGUAGGUAACCUGCCUAUUAGAGGGGGAUAACUAUUGGAAACGAUAGCUAAUACCGCAUAACAGUAUGUAACACAUGUUAGAUGCUUGAAAGAUGCAAUUGCAUCGCUAGUAGAUGGACCUGCGUUGUAUUAGCUAGUAGGUAGGGUAAAGGCCUACCUAGGCAACGAUACAUAGCCGACCUGAGAGGGUGAUCGGCCACACUGGGACUGAGACACGGCCCAGACUCCUACGGGAGGCAGCAGUAGGGAAUCUUCGGCAAUGGGGGGAACCCUGACCGAGCAACGCCGCGUGAGUGAAGAAGGUUUUCGGAUCGUAAAGCUCUGUUGUUAAGGAAGAACGAGUGUGAGAAUGGAAAGUUCAUACUGUGACGGUACUUAACCAGAAAGGGACGGCUAACUACGUGCCAGCAGCCGCGGUAAUACGUAGGUCCCGAGCGUUGUCCGGAUUUAUUGGGCGUAAAGCGAGCGCAGGCGGUUAGAAAAGUCUGAAGUGAAAGGCAGUGGCUCAACCAUUGUAGGCUUUGGAAACUGUUUAACUUGAGUGCAGAAGGGGAGAGUGGAAUUCCAUGUGUAGCGGUGAAAUGCGUAGAUAUAUGGAGGAACACCGGUGGCGAAAGCGGCUCUCUGGUCUGUAACUGACGCUGAGGCUCGAAAGCGUGGGGAGCGAACAGG
rnacentral:rRNA from 1 species